GAUGAACGCUAGCUACAGGCUUAACACAUGCAAGUCGAGGGGAAACGGCAUUGAGUGCUUGCACUCUUUGGACGUCGACCGGCGCACGGGUGAGUAACGCGUAUCCAACCUUCCCAUUACUGUGGAAUAACCUGCCGAAAGGCGGACUAAUACCGCAUAGUCUUCGAUGACGGCAUCAGAUUUGAAGUAAAGAUUUAUCGGUAAUGGAUGGGGAUGCGUCUGAUUAGCUUGUUGGCGGGGUAACGGCCCACCAAGGCGACGAUCAGUAGGGGUUCUGAGAGGAAGGUCCCCCACAUUGGAACUGAGACACGGUCCAAACUCCUACGGGAGGCAGCAGUGAGGAAUAUUGGUCAAUGGACGGAAGUCUGAACCAGCCAAGUAGCGUGCAGGAUGACGGCCCUAUGGGUUGUAAACUGCUUUUGUAUGGGGAUAAAGUUAGGGACGUGUCCCUAUUUGCAGGUACCAUACGAAUAAGGACCGGCUAAUUCCGUGCCAGCAGCCGCGGUAAUACGGAAGGUCCAGGCGUUAUCCGGAUUUAUUGGGUUUAAAGGGAGCGUAGGCUGGAUAUUAAGUGUGUUGUGAAAUGUAGACGCUCAACGUCUGACUUGCAGCGCAUACUAGUUUCCUUGAGUACGCACAACGUUGGCGGAAUUCGUCGUGUAGCGGUGAAAUGCUUAGAUAUGACGAAGAACUCCGAUUGCGAAGGCAGCUGACGGGAGCGCAACUGACGCUUAAGCUCGAAGGUGCGGGUAUCAAACAGG
rnacentral:rRNA from 1 species